GACAGAGGGUGCAAACGUUGUUCGGAAUUACUGGGCGUAAAGCGCGUGUAGGCGGCUUGGCAAGUCGGGUGUGAAAGCCCCGGGCUCAACCUGGGAAGUGCACUCGAAACUGCUUGGCUUGAGUACUGGAGAGGGAAGCGGAAUUCUCGGUGUAGAGGUGAAAUUCGUAGAUAUCGAGAGGAACACCGGUGGCGAAGGCGGCUUCCUGGACCA
rnacentral:rRNA from 1 species